rnacentral:rRNA from 1 species
AAGUCGAGCGAACAGAAGGGAGCUUGCUCCCGGAUGUUAGCGGCGGACGGGUGAGUAACACGUGGGUAACCUGCCUGUAAGACUGGGAUAACUCCGGGAAACCGGAGCUAAUACCGGAUAGUUCCUUGAACCGCAUGGUUCAAGGAUGAAAGACGGUUUCGGCUGUCACUUACAGAUGGACCCGCGGCGCAUUAGCUAGUUGGUGGGGUAAUGGCUCACCAAGGCGACGAUGCGUAGCCGACCUGAGAGGGUGAUCGGCCACACUGGGACUGAGACACGGCCCAGACUCCUACGGGAGGCAGCAGUAGGGAAUCUUCCGCAAUGGACGAAAGUCUGACGGAGCAACGCCGCGUGAGUGAUGAAGGUUUUCGGAUCGUAAAGCUCUGUUGUUAGGGAAGAACAAGUGCGAGAGUAACUGCUCGCACCUUGACGGUACCUAACCAGAAAGCCACGGCUAACUACGUGCCAGCAGCCGCGGUAAUACGUAGGUGGCAAGCGUUGUCCGGAAUUAUUGGGCGUAAAGGGCUCGCAGGCGGUUUCUUAAGUCUGAUGUGAAAGCCCCCGGCUCAACCGGGGAGGGUCAUUGGAAACUGGGAAACUUGAGUGCAGAAGA